rnacentral:rRNA from 1 species
UAGAGUUUGAUCAUGGCUCAGAUUGAACGCUGGCGGCAGGCCUAACACAUGCAAGUCGAGCGGCAGCGGGAAGUAGCUUGCUACUUUGCCGGCGAGCGGCGGACGGGUGAGUAAUGUCUGGGAAACUGCCUGAUGGAGGGGGAUAACUACUGGAAACGGUAGCUAAUACCGCAUGACGUCGCAAGACCAAAGUGGGGGACCUUCGGGCCUCACGCCAUCGGAUGUGCCCAGAUGGGAUUAGCUAGUAGGUGAGGUAAUGGCUCACCUAGGCGACGAUCCCUAGCUGGUCUGAGAGGAUGACCAGCCACACUGGAACUGAGACACGGUCCAGACUCCUACGGGAGGCAGCAGUGGGGAAUAUUGCACAAUGGGCGCAAGCCUGAUGCAGCCAUGCCGCGUGUGUGAAGAAGGCCUUAGGGUUGUAAAGCACUUUCAGCGAGGAGGAAGGCGUUGUAGUUAAUAGCUGCAACGAUUGACGUUACUCGCAGAAGAAGCACCGGCUAACUCCGUGCCAGCAGCCGCGGUAAUACGGAGGGUGCAAGCGUUAAUCGGAAUUACUGGGCGUAAAGCGCACGCAGGCGGUUUGUUAAGUCAGAUGUGAAAUCCCCGAGCUUAACUUGGGAACUGCAUUUGAAACUGGCAAGCUAGAGUCUUGUAGAGGGGGGUAGAAUUCCAGGUGUAGCGGUGAAAUGCGUAGAGAUCUGGAGGAAUACCGGUGGCGAAGGCGGCCCCCUGGACAAAGAC